GGGCCCGCACAAGCGGUGGAGCAUGUGGUUUAAUUCGACGCAACGCGAAGAACCUUACCCAGGCUUGACAUGCACGGGACCGGUGUUGAAAGACACCUUCCCUUCGGGGCUCGUGCACAGAUGCUGCAUGGCUGUCGUCAGCUCGUGUCGUGAGAUGUUGGGUUAAGUCCCGCAACGAGCGCAACCCUUGUCAUUAGUUGCCAUCAUUCAGUUGGGCACUCUAAUGAGACUGCCGGUGGUGAACCGGAGGAAGGUGGGGAUGACGUCAAGUCCUCAUGGCUCUUACGCCUGGGGCUACACACGUGCUACAAUGGCCGGUACAAAGGGUUGCAAGACCGCGAGGUGGAGCCAAUCCCAAAAAGCCGGCCUCAGUUCGGAUCGGAGUCUGCAACUCGACUCCGUGAAGUCGGAAUCGCUAGUAAUCGCUGAUCAGCAGGCAGCGGUGAAUACGUUCCCGGGCCUU
rnacentral:rRNA from 1 species